ACCCCCUGGCAAUGAGCAAGGAGACACCUGAUCGGUGGUGUUGCUCUUAUAUCAAUCAGGGGCAAAGUAUAUGUACAGUCCUUAGUUCAUCCUAGCUUGAUGCCUGUGUCGGUGGCCAGAGCUGUUUCAUGCCUGAGGCACAUAA
ensembl:snoRNA